ACGAAAAAUAACGAUACGGGACUCAUCCGAGGCCCCGUAAUCGGAAUGAGUACACUCUAAACCCUUUAACGAGGAUCAAUUGGAGGGCAAGUCUGGUGCCAGCAGCCGCGGUAACACCAGCUCCAAAAGCGUAUAUUAAAGUUGUUGCGGUUAAAAAGCUCGUAGUCGAAUUUGUGUCCCGCGCCGCCGGUUCAUCGCUCGCGGUGUCAACUGGCGUGUCCGCGGGACGUCCUGCCGGUGGGCUUAGCUCUUCGGGGCGGCCCAAUUUCAAUCCCACCGCGGUGCUCUUUACUGAGUGUCGAGGUGGGCCGGCACGUUUACUUUGAACAAAUUAGAGUGCUUAAAGCAGGCUAAAACAUCGCCUGAAUACUGUGUGCAUGGAAUAAUGGAAUAGGACCUCGGUUCUAUUUUGUUGGUUUUCGGAACCCCGAGGUAAUGAUUAAUAGGAACGGAUGGGGGCAUUCGUAUUGCGACGUUAGAGGUGAAAUUCUUGGAUCGUCGCAAGACGGACAGAAGCGAAAGCAUUUGCCAAAAACGCUUUCAUUGAUCAAGAACGAAAGUUAGAGGUUCGAAGGCGAUCAGAUACCGCCCUAGUUCUAACCAUAAACGAUGCCAGCUAGCGAUCCGCCGACGUUCCUCCGAUGACUCGGCGGGCAGCUUCCGGGAAACCAAAGCUUUUGGGAUCCGGGGGAAGUAUGGUUGCAAAGCUGAAACUUAAAGGAAUUGACGGAAGGGCACCACCAGGAGUGGAGCCUGCGGCUUAAUUUGACUCAACACGGGAAACCUCACCAGGCCCGGACACCGGAAGGAUUGACAGAUUGAGAGC
rnacentral:rRNA from 1 species